UUUUUUUUUUUUUUUAAUAAAAUGGAUUAUACUGCCAACCCCACCUAACUACUCCCUCAGAGCACCUGCUUGAGGUAGGUUCAAAUCAGCCCUCAAGCCACAGUGUGAUUAAACACAUCUAUGCCCACACAGAGAGUUCAGGAAAUUCAACUCCGCCACCUGCCAAGACACAAAACCUCACUCUAGGCCUCUUAGCCUCUUACUGAUCCUGAUCCUGGGAUUUGGAGCCAGCAGAAAGCCCAGGGGAUUUCUUGCAGAGGCUAAGGUGGGCUUCAAUGGUGGGGAUAUCAGGCCCAGACCUGGCCUCAAGCUGGCUCCUGGUCUUCACGUAACGAAACAGCCACCUUCCUUACAUGGAUUCUGCCAUGCACCUCCCACUUGACCUUGUCUACUCCAGCUAGACUAAAUUGCUUCCUGUUCAUGGCUUCUCUCUUCUCUCUGGGCUUCUAAAUUGCCCAUAGCCACAAAUUCCCAUUCCUACCCAUCCCAUUGUCCGGGUCCUUCAACUGGAUAGUUUUCAUCUGCUUAUAAGACACUUCCUUUGGGACAUGCUCCCUGACCCCCUCUCACUGAGGUUGCCCCUAUGUGUUCCCAUGGCACCCCUUACUUGUCAUUAAGCUUCUCACUCUGGCUGGCAGUCAGCUAUUUACUUUUUUGCCUCCUUCCACCAACCAGUAGUUCCAAACUUUAUCUUUUUUACCUGCAUCUCCUGUACUUAGUACAGAGCCUGGAACAUGAUGGAAUCCCCAUAAAUGUGCAAUGAGGACAGGAUCAAGUGCACAUUUACCACUUUCACCACCUUCCUAGGGACUACCGGCCCCUUCCAUGUUUCCUACUUUCAAACUGUGGCCCCUUCAUGUUGUAAUGAUUAUUUCAUCAUGAGGCAUAGUGAAAAGAGAGAUGCUGAAUACCCUAAACACAGAAGAGGCAAUGUUUUCUUAGAUGAGCUGCCUUUCUUGUUCACAAUGAACUAAAGAAGGUUUUUCCAGGCAUGGCAGAUAUUCUGGGAGAUUCAGGAAGGGGUACAGGGAGGGAAACCAACCUUUCCUGCAUCCCAACUUGAACCCUGAAGGGAGGAUUUCCAAACAUUCUCCCAGCAUUGUUAUGGGAGGACAUACCUUC
rnacentral:lncRNA from 1 species